rnacentral:rRNA from 1 species
GAUGAACGCUGGCGGCGUGCCUAAUACAUGCAAGUCGAGCGAACAGACGAGGAGCUUGCUCCUCUGAUGUUAGCGGCGGACGGGUGAGUAACACGUGGAUAACCUACCUAUAAGACUGGGAUAACUUCGGGAAACCGGAGCUAAUACCGGAUAACAUGUUGAACCGCAUGGUUCAACAGUGAAAGACGGUCUUGCUGUCACUUAUAGAUGGAUCCGCGCCGCAUUAGCUAGUUGGUAAGGUAACGGCUUACCAAGGCAACGAUGCGUAGCCGACCUGAGAGGGUGGUCGGCCACACUGGAACUGAGACACGGUCCAGACUCCUACGGGAGGCAGCAGUAGGGAAUCUUCCGCAAUGGGCGAAAGCCUGACGGAGCAACGCCGCGUGAGUGACGAAGGUCUUCGGAUCGUAAAACUCUGUUAUUAGGGAAGAACAAAUGUGUAAGUAACUAUGCACGUCUUGACGGUACCUAAUCAGAAAGCCACGGCUAACUACGUG